GCCCAGGUGGCGGAAUAGGUAGACGCACAGGACUUAAAAUCCUGCGAGGUUAGUCCCUCGUACCGGUUCGAUUCCGGUUCUGGGCACCA
rnacentral:tRNA from 1 species